GGCCGGCCCUCCGCCGACAGCUCAAUGGUCUCACCAUUUUCCUGCUUCUUCUCAAGAGCUCUGUGAAGAAGGGAAUGGAAAACCCAAAGCAUACACCGUAUCUGCUGCAGUGACUUUUCAUGACUGACCCUGAAUUAAAGAAAAUCCGUUGUAAUCCUUAAAGGCUACCUGACCUUCUCCCUGUCACUCUCGACACACCAUGAGUUAAUCUUUUAACUCAUACAUCAAGGACAAAUGUCAGGGCAGUUCAACACCUCGGUUCAGAGUUGAGUCAACAGCUUGGAGACAGUGAUGGGAUAAGAGAGAGUCAAAUAACUGGUGUAAUUGUUUGCAAGGAUGAAAAGCUUUUCAUGACACCAGUAAGCAGGACCUAGUGAACUCAGUGUAGUAACACAAAAUGCCAGAGUAUCAACUGUGACAAGCACUGUAACCACACUAACUGUGCACAUUUUGGAGUUCAUUAGCAUCAGUACAGUCAACUGAGUCAGAAGAAUAUUGUGCUGGAGAAACACUGAUGAGACAAACAAAACUCAGUAAAAGAAGUUGAAUAUUUUUGCUCACAUGUCAAUCAGUUGUUCUGUCUCUGAUAUCGUAGAUGAGAAGAAAGCAGUUCAUUCAGGCAAAAGAUGCAAAUAAACCGAGAGAUGUGCACAAUA